CACUUGAUUCUGCGGUGGUGUGGUGGAACUGAAGUGCAUGCCAUGUUCUUGCACCAUGUAAUCACAUGGUGGGACUUCUGUUUCAAAAUACUCUCUACAGUGUUAUGGGCUAUAAGACAAUACCAUCUCCUUUGUCAUGCACCAGUUCACUGCAGAUCUGGCACCGGGCAACAACAAAGGUCGGAAAUGAAUAUUUUUUUAAACUUGGUGACCUUAGACUAAUAGUUUGUUUUCACUUAUUUGUUUAUUAAUCAUUUGUAAUUAUAGGAAAUUGCCCCAGAGACUACAAAUGAAAUGGCAGUAUGUAAACCAGUGGCAAGAGAUAAAAACAGGGUUAGGACUGCUGUGAAGUGCACACAGGCCAUGUGCAGUCGUCGAAUAUUCGUGGCCUUCAAAGUGCCUGUCCUACGUAGACCAGGUCCUUUGACGCAAAGACAUUCAUACGCUCCGAAAGAUGCAGACCCUGAAUUCGGACACACUGAUUGCAACUCAUUCUCCCGCUGGUCGAGCUCCAUCUGCCGACACCAUCCAUCCAUGCGGUCGGUCUCAGCUUGAAGAAGC